GUUGAACGCUGGCGGCAGGCCUAACACAUGCAAGUCGAGCGUGCGUCGGACGGGUGAGUAAUGCAUGGGGACUGCCCGCUAGAGGGGGAUAACUACUGGAAGCGGUAGCUAAUACUGCAUACUAUCGGCUGACCCAUAUGGCAUUAGCUAGUGGGUGAGUUAAUGGCUCACCUAGGCGACGAUGCCUACCUGGUCUGCGAGGAUGAUCAGCCACACUGGGACGGAGACACGGCCCAGACUCCAACGGAGGCAGCGGUGGGGAAUAUUGCGCAAUGGGCGCAAGCCUGAUGCAGCCAUGCCGCGUGUAUGAAGAAGGCCCUAGGGUUGUAAAGUACUUUCAGUCGGGAGGCGUUACCGACAGAGGAAGCACCGGCUAACUCCGUGCCAGCAGCCGCGGUAAUUC
rnacentral:rRNA from 1 species